AGAGUCAAAUUUUCAAGUUUGUAAUAUUAGUUUUGGAAGAAGUUCUUCAACAAUAUGGAAUUCAACUUGAAGAUAUUGGAUGAUCGUUUUCAUUCUUAUGUCUCAAUAUUAAAUAAUCUUGAGCUUUAAUGUAAUAAAAUGUUGAGUUUUCUUGUAUGAACAUUAGUUUUUUAAUAAUAACUAAAUCUCAUGAACUUAAGAAAAACCCUAAAAAGUCAAGAGUGCUCUCUUGCGAAUCCCAAAGAAACAGCGGCUACUGUGGUUGGAAAGGAGGUGAGUGGUGACUUGAGGGUAUGGCCGAAGAGAAGGAACUAGCGCUAUUUGAAGAAGAAUUGAUCCAGCUAUCGGUGAAGAGCUCGUCAGUCAGGCCAUCCGAGAAUCCGACGUUGUUAUGUACUGUUUGGACAAAGAAAUCUUACAAUCCAGACAGUUUGAGAGCGCAAUUAAGGAGCAUCUGGAAAACAAAGAGGAAAUUCAAGAUUCUAAUCGCGGGUCAAAACCUUUUCUCGAUAUCCUUCGAAGACAAGGAAGAUCUCGAGUAGAAUUUGGAAGGACGCCCAUAGCUUUUUCGAAAACAUCUACUGAUUCUAGACCAGUUAACGGAACCAAUAGAGAGGAGCAAGAUUAAACUAGUGACAUCUCUGUUUUGGCUAAAAAUUGGACCAUGUCCUCCUGAGUUUGAGAAAAAGGAUUUGAUGUAUGCAGUGGGAUCUACAUUUGGGAGAGUACUUCGAUUGGAAAUAAAAGGUGACUGCUGUCGAAUUAGGGUUAAUUUAGAUGUCCAAAAACCUCUACGAAGAGGUAUUUUUGCUUCCCUAGAGAAACAAGGAAAAAUCUGGCUCACGUUCAAAUAUGAAACCUUACCAACGUUUUGUUUCGGGUGUGGCGGGUUAGGACACGAGGUUAAAGAUUGCAUGCAAAUUUCGCCUGAAGAUCGGUCCAGAUCAGUAGACCAACUUCCCUACUCUAUAGCUCUCAAGGCUGAAUUUACUGUAAUUAGAAAGGAAAGCAUAUGGUAUGGGUCCUUGAAAAAGAAUACAAUGAAGCAAUGUCAGUACCCAGGUGAGGAGAAAAUAGAUACGGAUGGAAAUCACCAUACAGAUACAAUGAUACAGAAGUGACAAAUGUCGAUGGAGGAAGAUUGGGAAAACAACCCAAAAGACCCAAGAGAUAAGAAACGAGCGACAAAUGAGCAGAGAUAAAGCAGCUUAUUUAAACACCACAAAAGGGUCGAUAAUCGUUAAAGAGAAGGAAGAGCAGAAUCAAAGUGACAUCGUAUAGAUUCAGAUAAAUGAACUGGAGAUAAAGAAGUCCACCGAUGGAGUAGCAAUGCAACAAAUAAAUCACCAUCGGAAUAGCUGUCGUCGUUUAGAUAAAAAGGAAUGUUUUGAUACAAACAUGCCUGAGCUGAUUUUGGGUAAACGCAAAUUCAAUCAAGAAAAGCCAGUAGACAUUGACCCAUAUUCUAGUAUUGAGAGUAUCAAAAAAAAGUCAAGGCAAUAAAUGGACACGUGGUGGAGCAUGCAACCUUUGAUUUUGAGAAGGCUUUUACGCAGGAUUUUUCAGAUUUGAAGCAAGAUAUAUCGGUCGGUGCCAAUAGGCAAGCCGACCAAAUGCAAUGAAGAUCCUAAGCUAGAAUGUCUGGGGACUGGGGAAUCCCCGGACAAUUAGAAAGUUCUAACACACAUUGAAACUUUACAAUCCCCAAAUAAUCUUCAUAAUGGAGACAAAACUUGAUUGUAUUCGCAUGGAACGAGUUAGGAAAAAGUGUGGUUUUCAGAAUGGAAUGGACAUCCCAACUCUGGGAACACGUGGUGGUUUAUGCCUUGCAUGGAAUGGAAAUCAUUUGAUUCAUGUUCGUAGUUAUUCAGAGUAUCAUAUCGAUAUUGACAUUAUGGAGAUGAUAAUUCAAGCAAAUGGAGGUUGAUGGGGUUUUAUGGGAAUCUAAGACAGUCAAACAGGCACGAAUCCUGGAACCUUCUUCGAAGACUACGAAAUGCAAACCCUGAGCCUUGGUGUGUAUGUGGAGAUUUUAAUGAGAUUAUGUACGCAAAUGAAAAGAAAGGAGGAGCCAUAAGAGACGAGAGACAAAUGGAGGAGUUUCGGAAGGUAUUAGCUAAAUGUGAUUUGUUUGAUAUGGGUUAUACAGGACAGAAAUAUACAUGGGAAAGGGGCAAUUUUAAGGAUACUAAUAUUAGAGAACGACUUGACUGAGCAGUAGCAAAUAAUGAAUGGUCCAACUGUUCAACGACUAUUCGGUACAGCAUCUCCCUCAUUCAUUGUCUGAUCACCGCCCAAUUUUAGUUCAAAUAGAGAUUAACAAUUCACGUAGUGGUCGACACCACUUUAAAUUCGAAUCAUGGUGGCUUCUCGAAUCAAGAUGUGACGAAGUCAUUAAAAAAUUGUGGGAGGAGAAAGAAGCGAUGUCUUAGGAAAAAUGAAACACCUACGCACUGGUCUACAAAAAUGGGGACGUAGCGUCAAGGUAAAACAUGAUAGGAAAUCGAAGAAAUUGUGGGAUAGAUUGGUCAAACUUGAUGGCAUGAAUAGGGAUGAUGAUGUGUUAGCUGAAAUUAUAGAUGUUAAGUUAGAGCUAAACUGGGAGCUGGAAAAAGAGGAAUUAUAUUGGGAGCAGCGGGCUAGAGCCAACUGGUUGCGUGAGGGGGAUAAAAAUACAGCUUAUUUCUACAAUAAAGCAUCUCAAAGACAAAGAGUAAAUAAGAUUCGUGGAUUGGAAGAUAGAGACGGGGUCCUCAAAUCGGAAAGAAUGGAUAUAGAGAUCAUUAUCAAAGAUAACUUUAUGGGGUUGGUAAUAAAAACCAUCUUUUUUCGGGUGUCCAUAGGUGCAUUACGGAGGAUAUGAAUCAAAUUCUAGUAGCAGAUUAUAAGGAGAUAGAAAUAGUUGAAGCGUUUAAUAGUAUUGGGCCAACAAAAGCAUCUGGGCCUGAUGGUUUUCCAGCUAUUUUCUUUCAGAAAUUUUGGCAUAUUGUGGGAAAUGAGGUAAGUGCUUUCUGCCUAGAUGUUCUGAACAAAGGCAAAUCUUUAAAAUCUUUAAAUUACACAAACAUAGUACUAAUCCCAAAAAAUGCCUAUCCAAAGAACCUAAUUAAUUCUUCGGCCCAUUAGCCUGUGUUCGGUACUUUGCAAAAUUAUUUCAAAAUCCAUCGCCAAUAGACUUCAAAAAGUACUGGAUUCUUGUAUUGAUCUAGCUCAAAGUGCGUUUGUACCGGAUAGGUUAAUUACUGAUAAUGUCCUUCUAGCUUAUGAAAUAUUACAUACUUUGAGGAACAAAAAGAUAGGAAAAAAAGGAUUAAUGGCUCUUAAGAUUGAUAUGAGUAAGGCGUAGGGUAGAAUAGGGGAUUUUGCAAAAAAUAAUGCUCAAAAUGGGUUUUAAUGCUGAAUGGGUUGAGAGAGUUAUGCAUUGUAUUGCCACUGUUUCAUAUUCGGUGGUACUUAAUGGAACCCCAAGAAUAGUUUUUACACUUGAGAGAGGGUUGCGAAAAGGGGACCCACUUAGCCCUCUAUUAUUUCUCAUAUGUAGUGAAGGACUUUCUACUUUACUUAGGCUCGCAACUGAGAAAAGCAGACUCAAAGAAAUUAAAGCAAGCAGACGAGGGCCUCAAAUCUCUCAUCUUCUAUUUGCAGAUGACUGUAUACUAUUCGGGGAAGCAACUGAGAGGGGAGCAAAGACAAUUGAACAAAUUCUUAAAGAGUAUGAGGAGUGUUCUUGUCAAUGUAUCAAUUAUGGGAAAUCGAUUGUGUUUUUUUAGUACAAAUACAUUCGAAACAGUCCGGGUUGAUAUUUCUAAUCGGAUGAGAGUUAAAAGGUCCAAUAGUUCAAAAAAAUACUUGGGUCUGCCAAAUUUGGUGGGAAGGGGAAAACGUAGGGCUUUUCAACACCUGAAAGACCGUAUAAAAAUAAAAAUUGAUAACUGGAGUAAUCGGUUAUUAUCACAAGGAGGAAAAUAGGUGUUCAUUAAAGCUGUGCUACAAGCGAUUCCAACAUACACAAUGGCAUGUUUCCUACUACCGCUAUCAUUAUGUAAGAAGAUUGAGCAAUUAAUGGCUAACUUCUAGUGGCAGAAGGGUCAAGGUAAACGUGGAAUUCAUUGGUGCUCAUGGAAUAAAUUAUGUGAAUUAAAAGUCGAGGGUAGACUUGGAUACAGAAAUUUAGCUAAAUUUAAUUUGGCCUUUCUUGCAAAGCAAGGCUGGAGAAUUAUUGAUAAUCCUAUGUCCCUUUUAGCUAGAACAUUAAAAGCCAAGUAUCAUCCAAAUUCUGAUUUUUUAAGCUCAGAGUUAGGGAGCUUACCAUCAUAUACUUGGAAACGUAUAUGGGCUGCAAAGGGACUGCUGUUCGCAGGAUUAUAGUGGAAGGUGGGUAACGGGCAAAGCAUCAGAAUUGAAGAAGAUGUCUGGGUUCCAAAUGUGGAGAGCGGGCUGGUUAAAAAAAAUGUCAAUAGGCAAACUGUUACAAAAGUCGAAGAUCUUAUUGAUAAUAGGAAUAGAAAAUGGAAUUCGGAACUGAUUUUAAAGACCUUCUCUAAAGAGGUCGCUCAAAAGAUCUUGUUAAUUCCACUGGCUCAGCACACUCACGAAGACUUUCUGAGUUGGCAAGGCGAGGCAUCUGGAGAGUAUUCUGUGUGCAGCAGUUACAAAAUCCUCUUACAAAGAAAUGAAAAUUACAGGCAAGAGGAAAUCAAUACAUGUUACAAAAAAACUCUGGAGCUGUGACCUCCCUUCAAAAAUUAAUAUUACAGCCUAGAGAGUCACCCUUAACUUUAUCCCUACUCUAGUAAACCUAAAAGCUAAGCGACUAAUAAAUGAGGCCAAUUGUUAGAGGUGCUUGUAAGGGCUGGAAACAAGAGAACACGUCUUCCGGGAUUGCACUGUCACAAAAGAAAUAUGGGAAAAAUUAGAGUUUACAUGGCCUCAGGCUCUUUCACAAGUUGAGUUUAUGGAAUGGUUUACCUGAAUUAUGCUCCACAGUACAAGAGAAGCCAGUCAGACCUUCAUUUGCACUUUAUGGGCUAUCUGGGCAGCUAGAAACAAAUGGAUGUAUGAAAACCACAAGAGAACUGGAGCAGAAAUAGUAAAAUUCAUACGGGGAUAUAUACAGGAAGUUAAAGACAUUACGAAAACAGAUCUUGCCUUAAGGUUGGAAUCUGAGUUAUGGAGGCCUCCGGAAAAAGAGUUCUUCAAGAUAAACUUUGAUGCUGCCUUUGAUAAUAGAUAGAACAGAUCCUGUUCAAGAAUAAUAAUCAGAAAUUUCAAGGGUGACAUUAUAGUAUCCAACACAAUAAUUCAUACCAACAUAUGCACUAGUUUUGCGGCUGAAGCAAACGCAUGUCUACAGGCAGUCAAGAUGGGCAGAGAAUUAGGGAUAAAACAGAUUAACAUUGAAGGAGACUCCUUAACAGUUAUAAAGAAAGUUAAAAGCUCAAAAAGAGACAGAUUGGAAAUAGGACCUUUUAUCUAUGAUAUAAAAGAACAGAAAGCAACAUUCCACGAUUUUCAGUUUCAAUAUGUCAGACGAUCAGCAAAUACAGAAGCACAUAAUCUGGCAACGGAAGGGCUAAAAAUGGACAGAAGUACAUACCUGGCUCCUGGGUCCGGCGGAAAUGGCAUUUCUGAAGCAGAGGUAGAUCGGGGAUAGAGAUAAACCAAUUGGAAAUAGUAACAACACCAGUUGCGGGGACAAAAGAGGAGAAGACGAUCUAUCUAGCAGGAAAAUACAUGGCGGUACAAAAAUCUUUAGAAAAGGAAAAUGAGUGGAAGACGGGCUGCGAAUAAGAAGAAGGCAACGAUGGAAAAGAAAAGAUCAAAGGAAUAAGACUAACAGCUGGGAAGACAAUAUCUUUUCGUUGGA
rnacentral:lncRNA from 1 species